UGGUCCUUACUUUCAGGGAUCAUUUCUAUAGUUCGUUACUAGAGGUGUUUUAAAUUGAUGACGGACUAUAU
rnacentral:snoRNA from 1 species